rnacentral:rRNA from 1 species
GCGCACGGGUGAGUAAUACAUGGGAACGUGCCUCUGAAUGGGGGAUAACUACGGGAAACUGUAGCUAAUACCGCAUAGAAACGAGAGUUUAAAGCUGGCCUCUAUUUAUAAGCUAGUGUUCAGAGAUCGGCCCAUGUCCCAUUAGCUAGUUGGCGGGGUAAAAGCCCACCAAGGCUACGAUGGGUAGCUGGUCUGAGAGGACGAUCAGCCACACUGGAACUGAGACACGGUCCAGACUCC